rnacentral:rRNA from 1 species
AUUGAACGCUGGCGGCAUGCCUUACACAUGCAAGUCGAACGGUAACGGGUCCUUCGGAAUGCCGACGAGUGGCGAACGGGUGAGUAAUAUAUCGGAACGUGCCCAGUAGUGGGGGAUAACUGCUCGAAAGAGCAGCUAAUACCGCAUACGACCUGAGGGUGAAAGGGGGGGAUCGCAAGACCUCUCGCUAUUGGAGCGGCCGAUAUCAGAUUAGCUAGUUGGUGGGGUAAAGGCCUACCAAGGCAACGAUCUGUAGUUGGUCUGAGAGGACGACCAGCCACACUGGGACUGAGACACGGCCCAGACUCCUACGGGAGGCAGCAGCGGGGAAUUUUGGACAAUGGGCGCAAGCCUGAUCCAGCAAUGCCGCGUGCAGGAAGAAGGCCUUCGGGUUGUAAACUGCUUUUGUCAGGGAAGAAAUCUUCUGGGCUAAUACCCCGGGAGGAUGACGGUACCUGAAGAAUAAGCACCGGCUAACUACGUGCCAGCCGCCGCAGUAA